rnacentral:lncRNA from 1 species
CCUUACUCAACUUUGGUGCUAUAUAAACAGUAAUAAGCCACGAACACAGCAUUCCUGCCCUUCUCCUUGACGUCAUCUGUUUGCUAGUGGGUUUGGUUUGAAGAAAUAGUGGUGAGCAAAAUCCAAGCGCUAAUUAAGCCUACAGGGCACAUCAGACAGACCCGUCGUUGUGCUGGCUAUUCACUCUUGGUCUUUUCUCAGCAAUAAUUCCAACCAGUGACAUCCCCAGCUGCUAUGACCCAACACAGCUCAUUUGAGCAGUGACACACAGAUUUUCUGGCCCAGUCUGUACGAGGAGGAGGCUGUGCUGGCUCCAGAUAGGAAGAGGCUCUACUGAUGGGAAAUAUCUGGACACUGCUGCACAGCUCAGGACCAGAGUUCCCUUGCAUGGUACCCACACAAAGGACCCUUGGAGACCUUUGGCUGCGCUCACCCAAAGGGAGCUGUAAGCUGAGCUGCUUCCAAACAGAUUUUCUGAAAACAGACAGCAUCUCCUCUCGCUGCCACACCGGAGCCCACGCUACCAAACCUCAGCUUGUGGGGCACACGGCCUGCCUCCAGCCCUCGGCUCUCCAGCUGAUGCUCAUGGGCAAGUUCCAUUGGCUGGAGGUCCUUUGGUUCUGCCCCAGAACACUUGGCACAAGGAAUGCCGCCUGCCGUGGUGUGGAGUCUUGGGUUUACCCCUGGCUCCUGCACUGCUUUUUGCCACGUCGCUUCACCUAACACCUCUCCAUGCCUCAGUUUCCCCAACUAUAAAGCUGACAAUAAAGAAACUCCCACUUCCUCUCAGCCUUUUUCUUUUAGCUGUUAUGAUUUCUUCCUUUUAUAAUAGCAAUGAACAGACACAGCCAAGAUUAAAAUCACAGAGUAAAAAUAUACAAAAAAAGGCACUCCCGCACCAGACAGUACAGAGUAGAGACUGUAAUCAUUUUAAACUGGGUCUGCUUAUGUUUGUGUUGUUUUCUUUGUUUUUUUUUUUGUUUGUUUGUUUGUUUUGCCAAAGCAUCAGCACUUUGUAAAUAAUACUGCAACUCCCUGCUCUGCGGGGUGGUUUUAAACCCUCGGUCAUUUUGGAUUGGGUGCAGAACAGCAGUGUGGCCAUCAGAUCGUCACAGAGUUGUUAAGGUUGGAAAGACCUCUGAGAUCACCAAGUCCAACCCCAACCCACCCCACCAUGCCCAUAAGUGCAUCCCUCAGUGCCACAUCUCCACGGUCCUUAAACACCUCCAGGGAUGGUGACUCCCCCACCUCCCCGUGCAGCAGUGCCACUGCAUCACUGC